rnacentral:lncRNA from 1 species
UGAAAUGGGAUGCAAAGAAAUGCAGGGAAGCAGAGGCAAGGAAUGAAAUGGGAUGCAAGGAAGCAGAGGCAAGGAAUGAAAUGGAAUACAAGGAAAUGCAGGGAAGCAGAGGCAAGGAAUGAAAUGGAAUGAAGGAAAUGCAAGGAAAUGGAGGCAAGGAAGGAAAUGGGAUGCAAGGAAGCAGAUAUAAGGAAUGAAAUGGGAUGCAAGGAAAUGCAGGGAAGUGGAGGCAAGGAAUGAAAUGAAAUGCAAGGACGCAGAGGCAAGGAAUGAAAUGGGAUGCAAGGAAAUGCAAAGAAGCAGAGGCAAGGAACAAAAGGGGAUGCAAGGAAGCGGAUGCAAAGAAGCAGAUGCAAGCCCCCGCAUGCAAGCCCCCCCGCCGCACGCGAGCCCCAGCCCCCUGCGCCCGCCGCCGCGGGGGUUACCUGUCGCUGGAGCUCCUCGGCGCGCUCCCGCAGGCCCCGCGCCUCCGUCUCGCGCUCGCCCAGCACCAGGCGGGCCCGCUGCAGCUCGCCCUCGAGCGCCCGCUGCUGCAGCUCCAGGCGGGCGCCGCGGCUCUCGGCCGCCUCCAGCGCCUCGGCCAGGCGCCGCUUGGCCGCCUCCAGCUUGGCCUCGCCGGCUUUCAGCUUGCUCAGCUUCUCCUGCGGAGGACAGCGGCGUCGCUCAGCGCCCCGAAACCUCGGCGCCAGCAGCCGGGGGCGCUUCGGCCCCGGAGCUGCACCGACAACGCGGGGGGGGUCUCAGCCCGGGCUCCGGCCCCGCGCGCACCUCGGCAGCUCGGCGGUCGCCGUCGGCCGUGCGCAAGCUCCUCUCCAGCGCGGCCACCUUGUCGAGCAGGGCUUGGCGCUCGCGCCCGCUGCGCCGCAGCGUCUCCUCCUGCAGCAGCAGCGCUGUCUGGGCGCUGCUCAGCUUCCCGUCGGCCCCCCGGCGCCCUGCGGCCCCGGCUGGGGGUGAGCGCCGCUGUGAGCACCGUGACCCCCCCCCCCACACUGCAUUGUCCCUCCGGCGCCUUCCUCCCUCCGUCACCUUCCUCGCUCUCAGCCACCAGCUGCUGGAGCUGCUGCGCCCGGGCGCUGGCGCCGUCCCGCUCCUCCUCUGCCUCGGCCAGCCGCCGGCCCAGGGUGCCCACCUGCGCCCGCAGCUCCUCCUGCAGCAGGAAAAUGGGGAGAAAUUAGUGUUUUUUAGGGGGAUGGGGGUCACCCCAAAAGCGGGGAGCCGGAGGGGGGGGUGCCAGCGUACCCGUUCCCGCUGCGCCUCCCGCAGCUCCCGCACGAAGUCCCGCAGGGCGACCCGCACCGCCUCGGGGUCCGCGUCCACCUCGGGGCGCUGCGGGGACGCUGGCGGCUCGCCGGGGCUCGCUGGCCCUUGCGCGGUGCUGCCGGCGUCCCCGGAGCGGGAUGCGUCCGCGAGCGUUGUCCCCCGGGGAAGGGGGCCGCCGGGCGAGGGGCUGCGGCGGCNNNNNNNNNNNNNNNNN